GGAGAAGGGCCAUAGCUCAGUGGUAGAACAUCUGCUUUGCAUGCAGAAGGUCUCUGGUUCAAACCCUCACAUCUCCA